rnacentral:rRNA from 1 species
AUUGAACGCUGGCGGCAGGCCUAACACAUGCAAGUCGAGCGGAUCGGCGGACGCGUGCGUAAUGCCUAUGAAUCUGCCUGUUCGUGGUGGAUAACGUUCGCUACCGGGCGCUGUUACUGCAUCCUCUUAGAUUAGCCUAUGCCGAAUUAGCUAGUUGGUGGGGUAAAGGCCUACCUAGGCGACGAUCCGUAUCUGGUCUGAGAGGAUGAUCAGUCACACUGGAACUGAGACACGGUCCAGACUCCUACGGGAGGCAGCAGUGGGGAAUAUUGGACAAUGGGCGAAAGCCUGAUGCAGCCAUGCCGCGUGUGUGAAGAAGGUCUUCGGAUUGUAAAGCACUUUAAGUUGGGAGGCGUUACCAGCAGAAUAAGCACCGGCUAACUCCGUGCCAGCAGCCGCGGUAAUAC